rnacentral:rRNA from 1 species
UACGGAGGGUGCGAGCGUUGUCCGGAAUCACUGGGCGUAAAGGGCGCGUAGGUGGCGUCGUAAGUCUGUGGUGAAAGCCCGGAGCUCAACUCCGGGUCUGCCGCGGAUACUGCGAGGCUUGAGUGCUGUAGAGGGGGGUAGAAUGCCGGGUGUAGCGGUGGAAUGCGUAGAGAUCCGGAAGAACACCGGUGGCGAAGGCGGCCUGCUGGGCAGUUGCUGACACUGAGGCGCGACAGCGUGGGGAGCAAACAGG